rnacentral:ribozyme from 1 species
AGAAAUAACAAAAAAAAAAAAAAAAAAGAGAAGAAAAUUAUAAAAAUAUUGAAUCGAAAUAGAUGAAGCAACGAAUCAAAAAUGUUUAUUCUCCUUCCUUCCCUCCUGCUCCUU